UUUCUCAAAUUUUAGUUACAAUAGAAGUUUUAACUAUGAAAAUAAUAGAGCCUCCUGUUCUGAUAUUCCAAGUACCUCAGAAAGAAAGUGGACUUUCAAAACCCCUAUACCUCAAUCAAACUCUGUUACUGAAGAAAGUAUAGGAGAUCCUUAUUCCCCUACUAGGAGUACUAUGGUCAUAACUUAUAAUAAAGAUUUUGAACCUGAUAUGGAAUAUUUAAAUGACGAAUUAAGCUCUCCCUUUUACAAAGAAAAAGAAAGAUGGUUUAAUAAAAUUGAUGAAAAAAUUAGAAAUAAAAUAAAAGAUGAAUGGUUAAAAGAACCUACUGCAGUUUUCUCCUCUUCCGUGAAGUGUAAAGGAGAAACUGGAGAGCUGUGAUUACCUUCUGUGGUGCAAACUUUCUUCUUCCCAAAGGGUGAGCUUGUGCACGUUGUUGCGGUUUGGAACAAGAAAGUGUUGAGGAGUUAAGCUUUUGAGGUGGGCUUUCUUUUUUAAUAAGGACUAUGUCCUAAAUACUUUUUAUGUGAAAGGAGGUGGAAAGUGUUUGUCUUGCCAUGUUUUGUAUUUGA